UAGGGAAUCUUCGGCAAUGGGGGCAACCCUGACCGAGCAACGCCGCGUGAGUGAAGAAGGUUUUCGGAUCGUAAAGCUCUGUUGUAAGUCAAGAACGAGUGUGAGAGUGGAAAGUUCACACUGUGACGGUAGCUUACCAGAAAGGGACGGCUAACUACGUGCCAGCAGCCGCGGUAAUACGUAGGUCCCGAGCGUUGUCCGGAUUUAUUGGGCGUAAAGCGAGCGCAGGCGGUUUGAUAAGUCUGAAGUUAAAGGCUGUGGCUCAACCAUAGUUCGCUUUGGAAACUGUCAAACUUGAGUGCAGAAGGGGAGAGUGGAAUUCCAUGUGUAGCGGUGAAAUGCGUAGAUAUAUGGAGGAACACCGGUGGCGAAAGCGGCUCUCUGGUCUGUAACUGACGCUGAGGCUCGAAAGCGUGGGGAGCGAACAGGAUUAGAUACCCUGGUGGUCCACGCCGUAAACGAUGAGUGCUAGGUGUUGGAUCCUUUCCGGGAUUCAGUGCCGCAGCUAACGCAUUAAGCACUCCGCCUGGGGAGUACGACCGCAAGGUUG
rnacentral:rRNA from 1 species